rnacentral:rRNA from 1 species
UACGUAGGUGGCAAGCGAUACUCGGAAUCACUAGGCGUAAAGCGCAGGUAGGAGGUUUGGAAAGUCUCUUGUGAAAGCUCCCGGCUUAACUGGGAGAGGUCAAGGGAAACUACCAGGCUAGAGUGUGGUAGAGGUAGCUGGAAUUCCCGGUGUAGCGGUGAAAUGCGUAGAUAUCGGGAGGAAUACCUAUGGCGAAAGCAGGCUACUGGACCGUCACUGACUCUGAUCUGCGAAAGCUAGGGGAG